GACUGAACGGAGGAGGCCCUACAGCGAGGCAAGGUCUGUCGGACACCAUCACGAGAAGGGCGUCCUGGCUACCUGACGGGCUCGGCGAGGGUUGCAGCUCUGCUGCACGCCGUCCUUGGCCAUACGCCUUGCUCCCAGACCAACACCAGGACUGCACCGCUCGGCCAGCAAAAAGAGCUGCAAGCGUUUGAGAGCGUGGACAGCAGGGCUGGGUUUGUUCCUGCCUCUGCACCAGGGGGAAUGUCCUCGCUCAAAGGCUGGAAGAUGGGUGAAACGGCGGUGAGGAAAGGGUCAAAACACAUCCCCCCAACUGCGAGCAAAAGAAAAAUGUUGGCAGAGCAAACCUUGCCACAGGAAUAAAAGGUUGUCCUGACUGUUCAUAUUACUCCACAUGGGUUCCAGCACUGAACAUCCUUUUUUGGGCCAAACGAGCACAAGAGCCAUGACAUGAGUCAGCUCCGAGUGCAUGGAAAGACCUGCGGCACCUUGGUUGGGCUCAGCAGACUGAUGGAUUAGCACUUGUCCAUGUGGAAUUGUAGGUUUCAAUCCUCAGAGCCUUUUCCAGUCAACUGAUCUAUCCCAAGCCUUUCAUCGGGUACAAAUGGGCUUUUGACUUUCAACAGAAUGAAGCAACAGUAAAUAUAAAUGGGUUGUGAAAUUUUUUUUGAAUGGACAUUUUAAUGGUCUGUUUGCUCUACAGCUUGGCUGUUGCAGUCGGAGAUAAAUUCCCCUUCUACUUCAGGCGCUGGUGGAUAGAAACCCAUUCCUCCAGCCCACGGCUGUUCAUUCCCAGGGAGCAGAAGUCUUCUGCACCUCCAGUUAAUGUCCUGACCUGGUCCAGACUGCUCCUUGUCAG